rnacentral:lncRNA from 1 species
UAUUCUGUGAUUGCUACUAAGGUUCAAGCAAAUAUUUUGUAUAUUUUUUUGGCCAAAAUAUUGUUAUUGUUAUUUGAGUUAUUUAAUGAAUGGCUGUUAUUUAUUUUGAAUUUAUUGAACCAUAAAAUAAAUUUUUGACUCUUCACAUUGAAUAAUCCACGUUAGAGUGAGCGUGUCGCCAUAAAAAUUGAUAACAUUGAAAAUAAAGCUUAUUAUUUUAACACAGAAGACAGUAAAUACACCAAAUUUAUUUAUUUCCAAAUAUUGAAAUUAUGCAUUUGUUAUUGUAUACAGCUAAUCAUUUUGUACCAUUUUCCCUACCAAACAGAUUAAGCCAGC